ACACGUUUUUAUAUUAAAUACAACCGCCGAUGACUUAAGAGAUGAGGCAUUUUGUGUUAUCGGUUUUCAUGUUGAUUUCAUAGGUCUGUGACCGUCGGUUUCCGUCUUAUGCGCUGAAACUUCUAUACUCUUUUAACAGGAGCUAAAACACAAACGUCUGUGACACACAACUGUGACAUUUAAUCUUAGUUGCUACCCUCAUACUCAGUAACGGUUGAUUAAGUGUUGUUCUGUGGUUGAAAUUCACUUUCAGAUAUCAAUGCCAAGGGAAUUUCAAUCAAAGAACAACAACACUAGCAAUCCCAGCUAACUGGCCAACGAUAGCUAGCAAAAGCCGGGAGCUAGCUAACUCAGGCAUGGAGCAUCUUCUACCUAUUGGCACAAAGCAGAGCACUAUCUAGCAAUAUCUGUCUGUCACGGAAAGUGUUUGACUCACUGUAAUUCUAGCCUACUACUGAAGCAAUCGAGUGAAUCUGCUUUUUUCUACAUUGUCUUUUCAGAUGUGCUGCUGCUGAAGGCAGUCACCCGGUGGAGGAACUUGUUUUUUGACAGGCAUACUACAGAUGCUGUGCUGCGAACGGACACUGCAGUCACCUGUGGGAGGGGUCAAUCAAAUCGGAUCUCAAAAACAGAUGUCGCGAAUCUGAUCUGAUCUACCUACCUCUAUGUGGCAAUAGAGUACCUGCUUUUACUGGCCAGGGGACCAAGAUGAAAACAAGAGGCCUGUACCCAGACAUCCAAGCACCCAUCAAGUCACCCAGUCCUCCGCCACCUGCCGUGCAGCUAUACCCAUCCAUCAAAUCCAGCCACUUGCCCACCCUAACCAGUCACAGCAUUUGGAGGCAAUAAAGUAUAAU